rnacentral:rRNA from 1 species
CACGAACCGUACGAACGUUAUUCGGAAUUACUGGGCUUAAAGGGUUUGUAGGCGGCCAUGUAAGUGGGGUGUGAAAUCCCUCGGCUCAACCGAGGAACAGCGCUCCAAACUGUAUGGCUUGAGGGAGACAGGGGUAAGCGGAACUGAUGGUGGAGCGGUGAAAUGCAUUGAUAUCAUCAGGAACACCGGUGGCGAAAGCGGCUUACUGGGUCUCUUCUGACGCUGAGAAACGAAAGCUAGGGUAGCGAACGGG